UUUGUUGAAGUUGAGGUUUGUUGAGUGUGCAUGAUAAACCAGUCUGUGCUCCUCCCUUAACAGAUAUUGUCUCCUUUAAUUCUCAUACAACUUAGAAUGUAGGACUUACUACUGUGCACUCCAUGUGACAGCCAGGAUUCAAAGUCCGGACUUUUUUACCCAUCAGCUCACACAGGCUCAUCAGGACCCCAAGGACUCAGAGCUCUGUGCAGACACCUCAAGAAAGCCUGCAAACCUAUCAGCUGAGACUCCUCAACCCUCCCUUUUAGAAGAAGGCUGCACUCUGGGGCUUCUAAAAUGAACAGAAUUGACCUGCUUGGUCUCCUGCCCCUCAGCUCUCCCAGGGUGGGACAGAAAAAGUGACACGGGCAGAAGUCAAGCCACUCACCAGGCAGGGAGGUGAAGCACAGCCUGGUCAUGAACUCCUGGGGAGCUUUCAAAUGCUCUGAUUCCUGAGUCCCACCUUCAUCCUACUGAAUGAAUCUCUAGAUAGGGGUCCAGAGAAUUCUACUUUUUAAAAGUCCCAGAACUGACUUUAAAGAUUAGCCAAACUUGGACUCAAUAACCCUUGAGAACUCCCUCAACACUUAAAUUUUAUGACAAUCUUUUCUUUAUAAUGCGUGUGUGUGUGUUUCCUUUGCCUGUGUGUGCACCUGUAUGUGAGGGUACACAUGACAAAAUGAGCCUAGAAAAAUGUAGAUUUUGCUAGCAUGAAACUCUAAUUCUUCUCAUUAGAAUGAAAUCACAAGUAAUUAGAAUCUCAUGGUCUGCAUCAACACACUUAACCUAUUGCUGGAGUUGUUGGAAAGGGAAGUAAAGCAAAUAUCACUGAGCAUUUAUUCAUUGAUGGAGAGAUUACAAUGCAUGCCAGAUGACCCUUCUCUUCUAUGCUAUAAGUCUCAUUGUACACUGUACAUAUUAAAGUAUAGAAUAUUGGGAUAAUAAUGGGCAGAGCCAGUAUUUAAAAGUAGUUUCUAACAUUUUAAAUGCAUUAUUGAAUCCUCCACAUAUCAGGUCUGUGAGGUGAGAGUUAUUACCAACUUUCUUUUACAGUUGAGGAGAUUAGAUCCAGAGAGGUCAAGUCCAUGGUCAAGAUCAUAGCCUUGACCUUGCAAGUCGUGAAACUGCUCAAGGGAUCCACGCUCAGAGCACCUGACUCCAGAGCCUACACACCCCACUGCACUUGGCAGAUGGUCUAGCAAUGAGUCCUUUUUAUUUCCAGGGAGCAUCUUUGCUUUCUUUCCCUGCCUUCUAAAAGUACUUAGCUUUGCUGUCUCCUACAAGUGGGGCAUAGCCAAGAUCCUACAUGUACUUGAGCAUCCUGCUUGUCAGCAUUUGGCCAUUAAGUUUCCUCUGUAACAGUCCCCUUUUAGUCAAUGAUAUAUUCACCCUUUCUUGUUCUCCCUUUGGAAGGUGGGCUGAGAGUUUUGGCCCUCUUGUGAGAAAAGAAAAAUCAAUCUUUUCUUUUGCCUCUUUAAAAAUCACCUGCUCUUUGCAUAUACUUUAUAUAUAUUUCCCUGAUAAAUUACAUAUAUAGAUCAUAUGACCUGUAUAAUUAUAUACAACAUACUUGAAGUGAGCAUUGCUCUUUGGGGUGUAUGAGUUUUGAUGUGCUUUUGAGGCGUCUCCCCUUUCCAGAAGCCAUGGUUCGAAUACAGUGGAGGGAAGGUGCUGGACACAGGGUCAAAGUCCUUCACUGAGUCCCAACAGAGCACUCACUAAACAUAAGCUCCAAGAGAGCAGCACGUUUUCUUGUUCCUACAACAGGGCCUGGCACAUACUAGCCUCUCAAUAAAUAGUAACUUUUAUAGUUACUAUAGUAUUUUUCUACAUGGUUUUAUUCUACAUACAGAAUAUAGCUGAAUUACACUUCAAUAACCUCUGUGAACCUAAGUUUCGACAUCAGCAAAAUGGGAAUAAAUAUUGUCUGCCAUGUAGGGUUUAUGUAAAAAUGAACCUUAUGUGUGUAACAGCACAAAUAAAAUGUAAAAUACUUUUUAAACAUAUAGGGGAAUGGACAAAACAGAAAGGAUGGAAUUGAUAUCAUAGAGCAAAACAACCAUAUGCUUCACAGAAAUGUCACCCUAAAUCCAUCAUUUGAAAAUUACUUCACAAUUCUGUUCUUAUCUGGCUACCUGUACUAUUUUCCUGCAGACUGUCUUGUUUUGCUUUUUAAAUAUAACUUUGUGAAAUUGUGGGUCUGGCAUAGUAGUGGUACACUUUUCUAAAACACAUAUUAUAAAGCACACAACCACCAACAUUGGCCAUGUUCCGUGAUCCUUGUACACCCUAAAUCACUCCCCAAGUCACUCCCCAGGUUUUCCCCCUUGGCCUAUGUGGUUUCUCCAGUUAAUUUUGGAGUAGGAUACACCUGCCCUUUACUCUGCUCACUCAAAACCCAUUUAAGUUCUUUAAAGUUAUGGUUUUGUUUUUGUUUUUUACUCUUUUUAAGUCUAUAAACCACAGAGAACCAAAGAUCUUAUAGAAAUGUAAGAAGUAAUAAAACAUCUAGCUCAAAAGGUCUCAACUUUAAUGCUAGGUACACAGAACCAUAUAUUUAAUACAGUGUCAGUGAUUGAUUUUCAAGGAUAAAACUGAAUGUGUGAAUUUUGCCUCAUGCUGUAACUUUAUAUCUGAAUUAUCAUAGCAUCAACAGGGCUGUGGGAUUGAAGCUAUCAUUAAUAUUACAUUAGAUCACACUACUAACAAACAUUUCCUUCCUGUUUCAAAGCUCCUGACUCUACUUAGAUGUUUUAGAAAACUCAUGUUCCUAGUCUACUUAGAUGAUGCCUUGAAUAGUUUUGGCUCAUUUGCAGAGCAGAGAUGACUGAUACCCCUAAAUCCCAACGAAUGAAGUCUUUCCCAGGUCCUAAUUACCACUACUUCUCACUUUUUCCUAAAAUUUUCUGAUCAUUCAUUGAUUCAUUCACUUAUUCACUCACUCACUCAAUGGGUACUUACUGAUCAUAUAACAGGUGCCAGGCAUGGUGUGGUAGAUUUAUUCUAUGAUAGUGAGCUAGGUAGAUGUGAAUCUUGGCUUCUGGAGCUUUCAUAGUAUACCCAAUGAAUAGGGAGAUGUUCAGGGAGAGUAUAACUGGAAGUUAAAAUAACCUGCAAGGUCAGAUUUCUGUAAAGAAGUAACAUUUAGCUGAGACAUGAAGUAACUGGAAGAAAAGGCUGAAAUGCCAUGAGAAUGAGAACCAGGAAUGCUGGAACGUUCAAACUGUAAUUACUACCAGCAUGUGAAAAAGCCCUGUGGUGGGAAGAAGCUCAGUGGGUUCUAGAUACUUGUCAGAGCAGAGAGGUUCAAAGAGUGACUAGAGAUGGUUCUGAGGCAUCAACAGGGCCAGAUCAACCCAGGUAUUGCAGGUAAUGUCAAAUAAGAAUUCUGAAGUCUAUCUUAAUAUCAAGAAAAAGCCAUUGAUGGGAGUGGCAUGGUCAGUGUUAUAUUUUUAAAUAUCACUCUGUCUACAUUGUGGAGAAAUGCAAAAGGAAAUGGAAAGGAAAUGCAAUUGUGCAUGUGGUUAUAAGAACACAGCAGUAACACAGGUGAAAAAUUGUGUGUGGAUGGGGAGAGUACAGCGAAGAUGAGGGUGGAGAGGGUUCAGAUGAGAGAAUUUUGCAGAACCUGGAGAUGUUUUGGACAUAGGUAAAUGGAGAAAGUAAGAAGGCCAGGUAGAUUCCUGGGUUCCUCUUGAAUAACUGAAUGAGUAAUGGGGCAAAAGUGGUACCAUUUGUGGGAUUAGGGUAGCCAAGAUCUGAGCAGGUUUGUGUGAGAAAUAGACAUCAAAUAGACAUCAAAGUGUAAGUGUCCAGUUUUACCAUAAAAAAGGCUUGUAGCUUAGAGGAGAGGUCAAGGCUGCAGAAAUAAAUUAACUAGCUAUCUAUCAUGGCUAUGUAAAUAAGCAAAAAAUAACAAUGAUGAUGGUAUUCCUCCAAAGCCCUUUGCUCAGGCAGAAAGAAAACUGGUAUGUCACAGGCAUGAAUCCUUACAUUGCAAUACUUGAUUCUCAACUCACCAGGCUGUAAACAUUAAAUAUGUACAUACUGGUUUUUGUAUGUUAUCAUACCUCAAUAAAGUAGUUUUUAAGAAUAUGAGGCAUAGAUGUCAGGCGCCGCACACGCCUGUAAUCUCAGUGGCUCUCGAGGCUGAGAAAGGAGGAUCGUGAGUUCAAAGCCAGUCUCAGCAAUGGUGAGGCACUAAGCAACUCAGUGAGACCCUGUCUCUAAAUAAAAUACAAAAUAGGGCUGGGGAUGUGGCUCCGUGGCCAAGAGCCCCUGAGUUCAAUCCCCAAUACCAAAAAAAAAAAAAUAUAUAUAUAUAUAUAUAUAUAUAUAUAUAUUGCAUAGAGGAAAAAAGAAACACUUGAUUUUCUUAUAUAAUAGUAAAAAACUUCAGAUAUUAAUGAUUUAAAUAAAAUAUGCCAAAAGAUUUAAUAAGCGAUUAUCAUUCAUAUGACUCAAUCUGCUCCAUCCAGACUGGUGGAGACUUUAGACUUUGACCUAGGAUUAUUUUCCUAGCUCAGAAGUGAUUGGGAAGAUUUUGUUUUUUGGAAAGCCAGACUUACUUGGGCAAAGUCCACAUUGCUCUGUGCAUUCUAAAAGAAGGCUGGGUACUGCUUAAAUUAAAAAGCUAAAGUAAAUAUAUAUGAGCACAUAAUCAAACCUCACACAUAAAUUAAGUAAGAAAGAAAAGAAAAGAAAAGGACAAAGUCUGACUUACUGAGCUCCCCAGUUCCAUAGAUCUGCAGUGUGGUCCGGGCAUUUGGCAUUACAGCCUGCACAGGUGAUUCUGAUACGAAGUCAGAGUUGAUGUGAAAGUUUAAAAAAGCAUCAUGUGCCUAACACACAGUAGAUGUUCAAUAUCCUUGUCCAAAAUGUUGAAUUUAACCACAAGGAAACAAUCAGAAAAGCCUAAGAUUGGUCAUUAUGCAAAAUAAUUGACCUGUACUCUUUAAAAUGUCAGUAUCAUCCCUUGGGCUUAAUCUCUAAUACUGAAAUAAAAAGAAAGAAAAGAAAAGAAAAUGUCAGCAUUGCAAACAAUGAAGACAGAAGAAGCAGGGGAGAAGGAGGAUGAAGGAGAAAGGAAGUGAGAGGUGAGAGGACCUUAUGUGGAUAGGCUAGGGGUUUUUUUGUUUUGUUUUGUUUUCUUGUGGUGCUGGGGCCUCAUAUGUACUAGGCCACUGCUCUACCACUACCACUGAGAUACACUUCCAGCCCCAGGAUUCUCUAAUUAGAGAUGAAAAGAGAAGAAAAUAAAAUAGAAUGCAUGAUUCUGGACUGGAUUCUGGGCCUAAAAAUUAAAACAUGAGCCAGGCACAGUGGCACAUGCCUAUAAUCCCAGGAGCUUGGGAGGAUAAGGCAGGAGGAUAGCAAGUUCAAAGCCAGCCUCAGCAACCUAGUGAGGUCCUAAGCAACUUAGCAAGACCCUGUUUCUAAAUAAAAUAUUAAAAAGGGCUGGGGAAUGUGGCUCAGUGAUUAAGCACUCCUGGAUUCAAAAAAAUAAAAACAAAACAUAAACAAAAUAUUGCUCUAAAUAGCACUAUUGGACCAACCAUGGAUAUUUGAAUAUGGAUUAUAUAUUAGAAUAGUAUUAGAUCAAUAUUAAGUUUCCUAAGUAUAAUAAUUGUAUUAUAAUCAUAUAAGGAAAAUGUGCUUACUCUUAAGAGAUUUGUGGUGUAUUUAGGGGAAAAGUGACUCUCUAAGUAAUUCUUACAUGGCUCAGAUGAAAGCAAUAUGUGGCAAAGUGUUGUUAAAGGGUUGGAGUACAUAGGUUGAUUUUCAGGAGAUUUAAAACUUUGUUUUUUUUUUUUAGAGAGAGAGAGAGAGAGAGAGAAUUUUUUUAAUAUUUAUUUUUUAGUUUUCGGCAGACACAACAUCUUUGUUUGUAUGUGGUGCUGAGGAUUGAACCUGGGCCGCACGCAUGCCUGGCGAGCGUGCUACCGCUUGAGCCGCAUCCCCACCCCCAGAUUUAAAACUUUUUAAAAUAAUGACUAAUAUUUUAUUAAUGCUUACAGAGACACCACAUGGAAUUGUGUGUGUGUGUGUGUGUGAGAGAGAGAGAGAGAGAGAAAGAGAGAGAGAUCUCAUACUCACACACACACACACACAAACACACAAACAAACACACACACCAAACAAAAUACCAAGCAGAUUAUUCUGUGUUCACAAAAACCUAGGCACUUGAAAAACAAACAAACAAAAAAGACAAUGUUGGGAAAAACAUAAAUUAAAAGAGUUUUUCAUCUUUUAUAGGAAACUCACAGGCUGCAGAAUUUCUGGACUAUCAAGCAAGGAAUGAAUAUUGUCACAGAAAAAUUGGGAAAAUGGAAGCAUGGCUCCAUGAACGAGAGGCCCGGGGACAGAUUCUCUGGGACAUUUCCAGCUCAGACUCAGAUGAGCAGGGAAAUGAUGAUAAGAAGCCACGAGCACUGGUGAGGACCAGGACAGAGAGAAUCCCACUUUUCGAUGAAUUUUUUGAUGGAGAAUAAGAGUGUCACUCACUCAGUGAGAUAGUGGGGGCACUGAAAAUUUGUUUUCCUAUCCUUCAAAUUAGAUUUUUUUAUUGACUUUGAGGAAAGCAAUUCACCUUAAUAAACAGGACACUAUUUCGGAGUCUUCUGUCUAGAAGAUCUAUCAUAUAUCUGAUAACUAUUGCUGUAGAACUACCUGCUGCUCAACACUGAGGGGCUGAAACUGUUAAGGUUGGACGAGCGUCAGAGGAAGAGACCACCAAGAGACUGUCUCAUGCAACAGCAGAGGGUUUAUUGGGGGUCCAGCAUGCUGGGGCUCAGAGCUCACUUGAAUGGAGCAGAGAGCCCCCGAGAACAACUUAAGCAGAGCUUAUAUACAUUCUUUGGAGAGGGCAGGGACUUUACAUACAUCACAGCAUCCCUUAGCAAAUCAUCACAUACCGUGGGAAAAUCAAAUAACAACUCUAAAACAUGAUUAGCACAUUCACUGGUGGGAACAAGUUGGGUAGGGGUGAUUGGUCAGCACAAACAAAGGGGUAUAUAUUUGAACUGGUUGGAUUAAGCCCUGAGGUGUGUACGUGCUGAGCUGCAUGGUCUCUGGGAGGGAUUGUUUUUACAGAGUGACCAGAUGGUCAGGAGAGAUUUUUCAACAUACAUUUACUGGUCUCUCCGGGAGUUGUUUUGACCCCUCCAUAAAUUUCAGAUCCCAGGAAAACAGAACUUAAAGAAAUUGUAACUUAACAGAACUUAAAACAAAUCUUAUCCUUUACAUUUUAACCUUUCAAAACAACAGCCAUUCUAUUGUCUCACCCUUCUGUGGGUGGCUGGGCUCAGCAAGGUGACUCUUCUGCUGGUUUCUUUUGAAAUCUCCCAUGUAGUUAAAAUCAGACCAGAGUCUGGACUAGAGUCAUCUGGAAGCUUAAUUAGCACACUGGAAUAGCUGGGCCCUGCCUCUUCUCCAUACAGUCUCAGAGCCACUUCCCAUGGCCUCUGCUGCUGGGUGGAGACAUUUUCUAUGAAGAAAAGGGAUAUCAGCCCUUUUUUUCUAUUAGCCAAGGGCUCCCAAAAGCAAAUGUCCCAAGAAGAAGAAACAGAAGCUGCCAGUCUCGAGGUCUCUAGUCAUGGAACUGGCUCUGCAGUACAUCCAGCACAUCUGUUGGUAAACAGGAGUCAAAUGCCAACAGAAGUGUCUAUGCAGGGCAUGAAUGCCAAACCAUAGUAAUUUGGAGUCCCUCUUAGAACCUUGCUACCACACCAUGCUUUUAAAAGCAAAUUAUACCAUAUAGAAUAAAUAGAUGAGAGAGUAGACUUGAUACAAAUGAAAGUGAAUUUCUAAGAAAAAUCACAAUUACGCUAUAUUGGACACUAAGCUUGUUUAGGUCACAUUUUUGUGAGUUGACCAUAACAGAAAGGCUUCAAGAAAGGAAUGGAAUAAUGUCAGAUGUGAAAGGUCAUUAUGAAUUAAUAAUAGCUCAAAAUUAAGAACUCUUAGAUUAUGAUGUUUAUUUUAGAGCUCUUUGAAACUUAAAGAAUGGGCCUGGAAUUGUAACUCAGUGGUAGAGCACUUGCCUAGCACGUGUGAGGCCCUGGGUUCGAUCCUCAGCACUACAUAAAAAUAAAUAAAUAAAGGUAUUGUGGCCAUCUACAACUAAAAGAAUUUUUUUAAAUAAGUAAAAUAAAACCAAAGGAAAUCUUAGAAAUGUUCAGUCCAGAAGUUGUUCUAUUUGUAAAAAUUAUAUUUUCAUGCAAUUUUUAUGAACUUCCUUUGUAUAUGAUUCAGCUCCAUGUCUAGCAUAGUCUAAAAAAAAUAGCUGAACUGUGGGCACAGAGAAGGAUGAAAGCACCAAGAAAGGCAGAUGAGAGAGUGGAGACAUACUUAGCCCCCUUCAGGAUUUGGCAGGGGAGCAGCAGGAUGAAGCAAUCCAGAAACUUCCAAGAAUCUAAUAAAAUUUUAGAACAGAAUAAUUAAAAAAAACUCUCUUGAAACCUUCAAAUGGAAACUUCAAAAAAGGAAAAAUAGAAAUUCGACAUUAAGUCCAUCCAGACCAAUCUUACUACGAAGACAAAAAGCCUGAUAUGUCAGGGGAUGAGCAUUCAGAUUUUUCCCAAGACAACCCCAUCCCUGGGCACAUCUAUUCCCAGCACUCUGUGAGUACUCCUCCUACUAUUUUUGUACUCAGCAAGAAGCUUAUUUCCAGCAGAUGAAUUUAUAAAUUGUUUGACCAGCUAGAUUUUUCAAAAAAGAUCCUUGAGAGGAUAAAUAAAUGCAGCAACCUCUGCAUAGUGUCCUCAGAUAUUAUGGUGAAACUGGAAAUUUUAAAGUAGGACUGGAAACUCCCAGGGGCUGAAGUCAGAGGGGCAAAGCAUGCCUUUAUUGCUCUGCUCUGUCACUUGAAAUUGGACAAAGCUCCCUUCUGCAAACUCACCGGACUGUGAGCUUCAUGAGGGUACAGACCAUGUCUUCUCCCUGUGGUAUCAACACUUCCUAGCACAACAUCUGUUGCAGAGUUUACUAUUAAAUGUUAGCUGGAUUAAUUAAUGGAUGUGUUAACUAGUCAAUUAGAGAAGCACUUGUUUCUCUCCAGCUAUGCAGUUGCUUAC
rnacentral:lncRNA from 1 species